rnacentral:tRNA from 1 species
GAAGGUAUAACUCAGUGGUAGAGCUCAUGCUUAGCAUGCAUGAGGUCCUGGGUUCAGUCCCCAGUACCUCCA